rnacentral:rRNA from 1 species
GACGUAGGGCGCGAGCGUUGUCCGGAUUUAUUGGGCGUAAAGAGCGCGCAGGCGGUCGUUCAAGUCGAGUGUGAAAGCCCCCGGCUCAACUGGGGAGGGUCACUCGAUACUGAUCGACUUGAAGGCGGGAGAGGGAAGCGGAAUUCCCGGUGUAGUGGUGAAAUGCGUAGAUAUCGGGAGGAACACCAGUGGCGAAGGCGGCUUUCUGGCCCGUUCUUGACGCUGAGGCGCGAAAGCUAGGGUAGCAAACGGG